GAUGAACGCUGGCGGCGUGCCUAAUACAUGCAAGUCGAGCGAAUGGAUUAAGAGCUUGCUCUUAUGAAGUUAGCGGCGGACGGGUGAGUAACACGUGGGUAACCUGCCCAUAAGACUGGGAUAACUCCGGGAAACCGGGGCUAAUACCGGAUAACAUUUUGAACCGCAUGGCUCGAAAUUGAAAGGCGGCUUCGGCUGUCACUUAUGGAUGGACCCGCGUCGCAUUAGCUAGUUGGUGAGGUAACGGCUCACCAAGGCAACGAUGCGUAGCCGACCUGAGAGGGUGAUCGGCCACACUGGGACUGAGACACGGCCCAGACACCUACGGGAGGCAGCAGUAGGGAAUCUUCCGCAAUGGACGAAAGUCUGACGGAGCAACGCCGCGUGAGUGAUGAAGGCUUACGGGUCGUAAAACUCUGUUGUUAGGGAAGAACAAGUGCUAGUUGAAUAAGCUGGCACCUUGACGGUACCUAACCAGAAAGCCACGGCUAACUACGUGCCAGCCGCCGCAGUAA
rnacentral:rRNA from 1 species